rnacentral:rRNA from 1 species
GAUCAUGGCUCAGGGUGAACGCUAGCUACAGGCUUAACACAUGCAAGUCGAGGGGGCAGCAUGGUCUUAGCUUGCUAAGGCCGAUGGCGACCGGCGCGACGGGUGAGUAACACGUAUCCAACCUGCCGUCUACUCUUGGACAGCCUUCUGAAAGGAAGAUUAAUACAAGAUGGCAUCAUGAGUCCGCAUGUUCACAUGAAUUAAAGGUAUUCCGGUAGACGAGUGGGGAU